rnacentral:rRNA from 1 species
GACGAACGCUGGCGGCGCGCUUAACACAUGCAAGUCGAGCGAUGAAAUUUCGACAGAUCCCUUCGGGGUGAAGAUGAAAUGGAUUAGCGGCGGACGGGUGAGUAACACGUGAGUAACCUGCCUUUGACAUUGGGAUAGCCUCGGGAAACUGGGAUUAAUACCAAAUGACACUAACUGAUCACAUGAUCAAUUAGUCAAAGAAAUUCGGUCAAAGAUGGACUCGCGGCUGAUUAGCUAGUUGGUGAGGUAACGGCCCACCAAGGCGACGAUCAGUAGCCGGCCUGAGAGGGUGAUCGGCCACAUUGGAGCUGAGACACGGUCCAAACUCCUACGGGAGGCAGCAGUGGGGAAUAUUGCACAAUGGGGGAAACCCUGAUGCAGCGGCGCCGCGUGAGCGAAGAAGGCCUUCGGGUCGUAAAGCUCUUUUAUGCGGGAAGAUAAUGACGGUACCUCAAGAAAAAGCCCCGGCUAACUACGUG